rnacentral:rRNA from 1 species
AUUGAACGCUGGCGGCAGGCCUAACACAUGCAAGUCGAACGUGUGGCGGACGGGUGAGUAAUGUCUGGGAAACUGCCCGAUGGAGGGGGAUAACUACUGGAAACGGUUUCUAAUAUCGCGUAUCACCUGAUGUGCCCAGAUGGGAUUGGCUGGUAGGUGAGGUAACGGCUCACCUAGGCGACGCUCCCUAGCUGGUCUGAGAGGAUGACCAGCCGGACUGGAACUGAGACACGGUCCAGACUCCUACGGGAGGGAGCAGUUGGGAAUAUUGCACAAGGGGCGCGAGCCUGAUGCAGCCAGGCCGCGUGUAUGAAGAAGGCCUUCGGGUUGUAAAGUACUGUUAGCGGGGAGGCGGUACCCGCAGAAGAAGCACCGGCUAACUCCGUGCCAGCAGCCGCGGUAAUAC